GACAAUAUUAUAUAGAUUCUUUGGACAACAAUACAAUAUUUGCUGAUAUCACAAAGUCUGCCACGAUACGAUUUGAUUCAAUUCAGGGGUCUGCGAUCCAUAUGAGACAAUAUCAUAUGUCCAUUUAAAACAAUCAGUUACAUUCAUAUGAACUCAGAAAAAUCUACUAAAAUUAUGCUUUGACAAUUUUAUUACUGGGCUCUUCCAGACAUUUAAAUAAAAGACAAAGUGUGUAAAGGCGUAUCUUAAAGAUGACAAUAUGUACCGAUAUUUUCACCUUUGCAUCGAUGAUACUGGAUCGUUGAAUCGAUAUAUCGAUCCAGAUCGAUGUAUCGUUUCACCCCUAUCCUGUAGUAGUGUUAUUAUGGGUCUAGAGGAUGGCCUCUGAGCGAGGCGAACACAGUUUUGCACUCAGCGUCUCACGUUAUCGUCGUCCUGGAAAGGGAGGAGUGAGCGGAGGGGUACACUAGAUGCUACCAAAUCCUACACACUGUCCCUUUAAUGAUUGUGCCAUGGAUUCAAGUUUACUUUUUAUUAAUAAUGAGGCCCUAGAUCUGCUCUACAUAACCCACUGUGGUUGGCAUUAUAUUUGGCUGCAUACUGUAUAAGCAAGUGGAUUUUGCUUUAUUAUAUACAGGAGGAGAGCGGAUCAGAGGGAAGACGUUAUGAGUCACAUCUCAGAUAUUUGUUUGGAGACCUGAAAGCUGACCUGCAGUACAUAUCCAGCAUGACCGCCGUACAAAGAUGAGGUCCAUUGCAAGAUCCAGCGUAGCUACUGCAGCGCCUCACCAGUUUGCUGAGGAGAGGAGAUGUCAGUUGUGUCAGCGCUUAAAACCCUCUAAGUGGUUUUGAGAUGCAGGUCUUUCCAUCAGCGGCUGCUCCUUUCUCACUGCAGGCCUUAAGGUAACAACAACACACGGGCAUUUGUAAGCAAGACAGGAAGACGGUCUCCUCCGGCCUUCAGAGGGAUUAAGGGAUAACACGUAACUGUGUUUUUGUAAUGAAAAAAAAACGCAGUGGUUCAUAAGAGCUGAAGGCAAAAUGAGGUUUCUGUAUUGCCAAAAAUGCUCAAUCAGAGAGCACUGUGACAGUCAAACAACACUUGUAAUAACAGCAAGACAGGAAGUGGAUAAAAUAGAGCACAAUGAGCAUAAGAAUAAAUCAUGAGGUACAAAACCAGACAAGGUUGGAACAAAUGAGGUCAGAAACGGUGACUGUGUGGGAAAUGUAACUGCAGGGAAGAGGGCGUGGACAUUACUCAUCGCAGAGAGGAAGAAAAAAACAUGGAAAUGCAAAAAAAAGUGGGAAAAAAACACAGACACACCUCAUAAAUGCAUAUCUCCCUGCUCUGACCGCUGCUCUGUCAUCCCCGUGUCCCUGGGAGGUGACAGUAGAUACAGUAAUAUUGCCAAAAAAUGCUCCUGCAGCUCCACUAGUCUGUUAAAGAGGUAGUACACCACCUAACAUAUCUGACUUUUCAUUCAGCUGCUCCCUUCAUUUAUUUAUUUUUCAUCACAGAUCCGUUUGUUAUCUUCAACUGACGGUACCUUUAUCGUGUACAGACAUGAGAUUUAUUUUAUUUAUUGAUAAUUUAUUGACAUUGUAUUGAUUAUUUAUGUUGCCAUUUUGUAUGAGGUCCACAUGUUCCUUUUUUUUCUGUUUCUUGUGAUCUGAGUCUCUCACUGCAUCAAAUUCACAGAUGGAGGGCAAGAAGAGAGGGGGAAAGUGAAGAUAAAAAGGUCUCUGUUUACAGUGGAUUUAAUUUGGUUUCUUUAUCCAGUCAUGGAGGUAGAAAUGUGCAAACAUUUGACAAAACAAACUUGAACUUCAAUCUUAUAUCGGUGCAUUAAUCCUCCCCAGAAUGUCAACAUAUCUAAACAUAUCCAAACUAAAAGUUGAAUACUGGGUGUAAAUAGUGCAGAGCCCUGUUUCAGAAAGCAGUACAAGUGAAAACUGUGAGUUAGUUAUUGCUGAGAUCAGGGAAACCCAGCUGCUUUCUGAAACGGAGCCCAGAUAUGUCUCAAAUCUUUACUGUUAUAGAUCCAAAGCUGAAGUUUCACAUGCACAAAAUCAGAUCAUUAACUGGUAAUGUGUGUGCUUUUAUACACACGGAAAACUCCAGCUUCAGGUUAAUCUGGUUCAGACCAAUAGGAGGGCAGACUAAAAGACUAAAACGUUGUGAUGUGCUCUGAAAAAGAAAACAAGUUGGGAGGUGAUGGAAGGAAAGAAACUGUGAGAGAUAGCCAGGGAGAGGAGGAGGAGGAGGAGGAGGAGGAGGGAUGGGAGAUUGUCUUUGUUAGCUUGUGUGUUCAUUAUGGGAUGCCUUCUAUCCCGCCGUCGGCAAGGGGACGGCGGCAUGGAAACAGCUGUUCCCCCCGUUACCGCGGAAACAAGAGAAAUGUUGGACAUUAAAAAAAAAGACUUAUUCCUA